AGAGCUAAACGUUGGGGCGGAUGGACAAAUGACCUGCCGUCAUUAGGCUCCACUGUUAGGACAGAAAAACACUGAGUGCCAGACAUAAGCCCAACAGUUUCCAUCACUGUUGUCUGAGGGGAGCAGCGAGUGUGUGUGUGUGUGAAGAUUGGAUUAUAUCUGCUAGGCUGACCCAGGAUCUGCCACCAGCUGUUGUUUAUGCGCAGCCUUCAGCCUGGAAAUUAAUGUGCAGACUCGGCUUUGAUCUCGCCCUCGAUCACCCGCAUUGUUUAUCCGAGGAUGGAGACAUGAUGGUAUGCCACAGCGGGUAAUCAGAUCCUCCACACGCCCACACACGCAGUCACACACCU